rnacentral:siRNA from 1 species
CUUACCAGGUCCAGACAUAGU